rnacentral:rRNA from 1 species
ACCAGACUUGCCCUCUAAUUGUUACUCGAUAGGGUAUUUAAAUCGUUCUCAUUCCAAUUAUGAACCCCUUUUCGGAGCCCAUAUUGUUAUUUAUUGUCACUACCUCCCUGUAUCAGGAUUAGGUAAUUUGCGCGCCUGCUGCCUUCCUUAGAAGUGGUAGCCAUCUCUCAGGCUCCCUCUCCGGAAUCGAACCCUAAUUCCCCGUUACCCGUUAAAACCAUGGUAGACCAAUACUCUACCAUCGAAAGUUGAUAGGGCAGAAAUUUGAAUGAAUCGUCGCCGCUGCGAGAGCAUGCGAUCCGCAAAGUUAUUAUGAUUCACCAAUGGACCGGGGCCGAAACCCCGUAUUGGUUUCUAUAGCUAAUAAAUACAUCCCUUCCAGGUUGCCCUAGUCAGGAUUUUUAGCACGUAUUAGCUCUAGCUUUUCUACAGUUAUCCGAGUAGAGGUACUAUCAAAUAAACUAUAACUGAUUUAAUGAGCCAUCCGCAGUUUCACUGUAUAACCAUUUAUACUUAGACAUGCAUGGCUUAGUCUUUGAGACAAGCAUAUGACUACUGGCAGGAUCAACCAG